rnacentral:lncRNA from 1 species
UUCUUCCAUUGUUUUUUGCUUUUGAUUGUUUGAUCUUACCUUCUUUGCUCAAUUCUUCAUGCUUUCUUCCGUUUAUUACAGGGUUGUUCUUGGUUUCCUUUUUCUUCAGCUCGUGAUGGUUUUGCUUUUAAAGGUCAUUCUUUGCCACUUCUAUUAUUAAUGGAUUUUCAUUUUGUGUGUGUAAUUGAAACUAAAAUGUGAGUAAAUUAGUUUAGUUGUGUUUUGAGUUUACUAGUUUGUGUUUGGAAACAACAGAUUCUUUGUCUGUGUAUUUGAAAUUCAAAUGUUAAUAAAUUAGUUUUGUUGUAUUUUGAGUUUGCAGGUUUGUGUUUGACAACAACAAAUUUUAACUGUGCUUUUUGAGAUUUGGUUUUCUUUUCUGUUUUAGGCUUGGGGCCGGUAUGUGUUUAUCCAAGAUUCUGUCUCAAUUUGUAAACAAGAAGGAUAAAGAUUUAUUUUUCUAUUCUUUUUUGGGCUUGGGGAGGGAAGGUAUGAGAGAAAUAAUCUGCUCAAAUUAUCUUUAAAAUCUAUGCUAAUCCUGAAUGAUAUAUUCAUUAUUUUAGAAGAUCUAAAAUAUGAGAGCCACCAAAGAUAUCUAAUUAUCCAAGAUCCUUUCUUAAUUUCAAAAUCAUGGAUAGAAACCCAGUCCAAAUCCGUUCAAAGACAUUCUGUCAAACCAAUAAAAAUAUGUAUUACAAUAUGGAAUCAAAUUAUUAACUGC